AAUCAACGCUGGCGGCGUGCCUCGGACAUGCAAGUCGAACGAUUAAGACUUCCUUCGGGAAGUGCAUAAAGUGGCGCACGGGUGAGUAACACGUAAGUAAUCUACCCUCGAGUGGGGAAUAACGUUCGGAAACGAACGCUAAUACCGCAUAACGCAGCGGCACCGCAAGGUGACAGUUGUUAAAGGAGCAAUCCGCUUGAGGAGGAGCUUGCGGCAGAUUAGCUAGUUGGUAAGGUAAUGGCUUACCAAGGCUACGAUCUGUAUCCGGUCUAAGAGGACGGUCGGACACACUGACACUGAAUAACGGGUCAGACUCCUACGGGAGGCAGCAGUCGGGAAUUUUGGGCAAUGGGCGAAAGCCUGACCCAGCAACGCCGCGUGAAGGAUGAAGUAUUUCGGUAUGUAAACUUCGAAAGAAUGGGAAGAAUAAAUGACGGUACCAUUUAUAAGCUCCGGCUAACUACGUGCCAGCCGCCGCCGUAAUAC
rnacentral:rRNA from 1 species